GGGGUCUUAGCACAACUGGUAGUGCAAUUGCUUUGCAAGCAAUAGGUUAGGGGUUCGAGUCCCCUAGAUUCCA
rnacentral:tRNA from 1 species